rnacentral:rRNA from 1 species
GAUGAACGCUGGCGGCGUGCCUAAUACAUGCAAGUCGAACGCACAGCGAAAGGUGCUUGCACCUUUCAAGUGAGUGGCGAACGGGUGAGUAACACGUGGACAACCUGCCUCAAGGCUGGGGAUAACAUUUGGAAACAGAUGCUAAUACCGAAUAAAACUCAGUGUCGCAUGACACAAAGUUAAAAGGCGCUUUGGCGUCACCUAGAGAUGGAUCCGCGGUGCAUUAGUUAGUUGGUGGGGUAAAGGCCUACCAAGACAAUGAUGCAUAGCCGGGUUGAGAGACUGAUCGGCCACAGUGGGACUGAGCCACGGCCCAAACUCCUACGGGAGGCUGCAGUAGGGAAUCUUCCACAAUAGGCGAAAGCCUGAUGGAGCAACGCCGCGUGUGUGAUGAAGGCUUUCGGGUCGUAAAGCACUGUUGUAUGGGAAGAACAGCUAGAAUAGGGAAUGAUUUUAGUUUGACGGUACCAUACCAGAAAGGGACGGCUAAAUACGUGCCAGCAGCCGCCGUAA